UACGUAGGUGGCAAGCGUUGUCCGGAAUUAUUGGGCGUAAAGCGCGCGCAGGCGGUCCUUUAAGUCUGAUGUGAAAGCCCACGGCUCAACCGUGGAGGGUCAUUGGAAACUGGGGGACUUGAGUGCAGGAGAGAAGAGUGGAAUUCCACGUGUAGCGGUGAAAUGCGUAGAGAUGUGGAGGAACACCAGUGGCGAAGGCGGUCUGCUGGGCAGUUUCUGACACUGAUGCGCGACAGCGUGGGGAGCAAACAGG
rnacentral:rRNA from 1 species